UUGGGAAAGCUAGAGUGCU
rnacentral:miRNA from 1 species